CCUACGGGAGGCAGCAGUGGGGAAUUUUGGACAAUGGGCGCAAGCCUGAUCCAGCCAUGCCGCGUGUCUGAAGAAGGCCUUCGGGUUGUAAAGGACUUUUGUCAGGGAAGAAAAGGCUGUUGCUAAUAUCGACAGCUGAUGACGGUACCUGAAGAAUAAGCACCGGCUAACUACGUGCCAGCAGCCGCGGUAAUACGUAGGGUGCGAGCGUUAAUCGGAAUUACUGGGCGUAAAGCGAGCGCAGACGGUUACUUAAGCAGGAUGUGAAAUCCCCGGGCUCAACCUGGGAACUGCGUUCUGAACUGGGUGACUAGAGUGUGUCAGAGGGAGGUAGAAUUCCACGUGUAGCAGUGAAAUGCGUAGAGAUGUGGAGGAAUACCGAUGGCGAAGGCAGCCUCCUGGGAUAACACUGACGUUCAUGCUCGAAAGCGUGGGUAGCAAACAGGAUUAGAUACCCUGGUAGUCCACGCCCUAAACGAUGUCAAUUAGCUGUUGGGCAACUUGAUUGCUUAGUAGCGUAGCUAACGCGUGAAAUUGACCGCCUGGGGAGUACGGUCGCAAGAUUAAAACUCAAAGGAAUUGACGG
rnacentral:rRNA from 1 species